GAUGAACGCUAGCGGCAGGCCUAAUACAUGCAAGUCGAACGGAUAUAUGUUUUUCGGAAUAUAUAUUAGUGGCGCACGGGUGAGUAACACGUACAUAACUUGCCCUCAAGCGGGGGAUAGCCUUGGGAAACUGAGAGUAAUACCCCAUAGAAUUAUUGGACGGCAUCGUUUGAUAAUUAAAACUACGGUGCUUGGGGAUAGAUGUGCGUCUGAUUAGCUAGUUGGUGAGGUAACUGCUCACCAAGGCGACGAUCAGUAGGGGGCGUGAGAGCGUGGCCCCCCACACGGGUACUGAGACACGGACCCGACUCCUACGGGAGGCAGCAGUAAGGAAUAUUGGUCAAUGGAGGGAACUCUGAACCAGCCAUGCCGCGUGAAGGAUGACGGCCCUCUGGGUUGUAAACUUCUUUUGGUAUGGGGCGAAAAACGGGAUUUAUCCUGGACUGACGGUACCAUCAGAAUAAGCACCGGCUAACUCCGUG
rnacentral:rRNA from 1 species